GAUGCUGAAGCUCCAAUACUUUGGCCACCUGAUGGAAGAUCCGACUCACUGGAAAAGAGCCUGAUGCUGGUAAAAGAUUGAAGGCAGGAGGAGAAGGGGACAACAGAGGAUGAAAUGGUUGGAUGCCAUCAUGGACUCAAUGGACAUGAGUUUGAGCAAACUCCAGGAGAUGGUGAAAGACAGGGAAGCCUGGCAUGCUGCAGUCCAUAGGAUCGCAAAGAGUUGGACACUACUGAGCGACUGAACAACUGCUUUUCUAGCCAAGAUGAAAUAUACGUAUUCAUUAAUUCCCUCACUGGAUAACAUUUGGUCCUAAGUCCAUAGCUGCUGAGGAGGAGAAAUGAAGACAUGAAGCCCACUGUGAAGAGUUGCAUUAACAGGAACAGAACAAACACACUUGGGAAAAUUACAGUGCAAUGGGACAAUCCAGUGUGUACAUUUUUCAGAAGGUAGAGAAAUUGUUUUCAUAUCCUUGAAGAGGAUUUGGAGGAAAUGAACAACAGGGAAGAGGUUUCUGGAGAGGAUGCUGUUAGGACAGGAAAAAUCUGCAUUCGUUGGGGUGGGCCUGGGAAAGUAUUUCCAGAAGAGAAACUAAAUGAGAAAAAGUCCAGAGGCAGGAAGCUCUAUGUGUGUGUGUGUGUGUGUGUGUGUGUGUGUGUGUGUGUGUGUGUGUGUGGUGGUGGUGGUGGUAAUGGUGGAAGGCUGGAGGUAUGAUCUAUAGUUGAAAAGCUCAUCAUAAAACCAGGGAGGGACAGCUGAAGAGCAUGAAUUUAAUGUGUUUGAUAUACCAAGUAUAUUUCAAAUUAUCAUGUGGCAUGUUAAGCUCUGGGAAGGUGACUUCAGGCAGCAGGCUGAAAGUAGCAUCAAAUUGAAGAGCCUGUUAGAGAGCAUAAAGUCUGAGAAUCCAACUGUGUGUGUGGAUAACGAAACUGAGACCAAAGACGAAGUGCCUUGCCGGUUUCAGGGCAAGGAAAGGACUACAAACUUUCCUUUCUUUUAUCUCCCCUUGUCCAUCCUACUUCUAUUUCCAGGUGGGCAGGCCCUUCUGACUCUUCCUCUCUCUUCCCACUGGUCUGCUUACAUCCAGUCUCCAUCUCUUGAGGAAGUUAUCUGGUUUCAUCUAAACGCCCAGGCCCUACACCUGCUGUAGCUUCCUCUGCCUUUGACCAGGAACAAGAAGAAGGGAAAAAAACCAAAACAAAGCAGUUGAAUACCUGCAAUGACAAAGGCGGUCACUUUGUUAAAGACUCAGUGACACAUUAAGACUCUCAGUCCAGUAGCAGAGGAAGACAAGGUGACCAAUGACAUUAUGCAUUUAUAGGGACUAAGCACAGAGUGACAGAUGUACUCUGUAGGGGCAACACAUCCCCUGGAGGUAGUGGAGGGGCAAAAUGACCUCUGAGAGGGACUUUCCUGGUGGUCCAGAGGCUGACUCUGUGCUCCCGAAGCAGGGUGUCUGGGUUUGAUCCCUGGUCAGGGAACUAGAUUCCACUGCUGCAACUAAA
ensembl:lncRNA